rnacentral:snRNA from 1 species
GUGCUNGCUUCAGCAGCACAUAAGCUAAAAUCGGAAUGAUACAGAGAAUAUUAGCAUGGGCCCUGUGUAAGAUUGAUAUGCAAUUCAUGAGUUCCAUNUUUUUUUU